GCGGAGGAAAAGAAACCAACAGGGAUUGCCCUAGUAACGGCGAGUGAAGCGGCAACAGCUCAAAUUUGAAAGCUAGCCUUCGGGUUCGCAUUGUAAUUUGUAGAGGAUGAUUUGGGGAAGCCGCCUGUCUAAGUUCCUUGGAACAGGACGUCAUAGAGGGUGAGAAUCCCGUAUGUGACAGGAAAUGGCACCCCAUGUAAAUCUCCUUCGACGAGUCGAGUUGUUUGGGAAUGCAGCUCUAAAUGGGAGGUAAAUUUCUUCUAAAGCUAAAUAUUGGCGAGAGACCGAUAGCGCACAAGUAGAGUGAUCGAAAGAUGAAAAGCACUUUGGAAAGAGAGUUAAAAAGCACGUGAAAUUGUUGAAAGGGAAGCGCUUGCAAUCAGACUUGUCUAAACUGUUCGGCCGGUCUUCUGACCGGUUUACUCAGUUUGGACAGGCCAGCAUCAGUUUCGGCGGCCGGAUAAAGGCUCUGGGAAUGUGGCCUCCACUUCGGUGGAGGUGUUAUAGCCCGGGGUGUAAUACGGCCAGCCGGGACUGAGGUCCGCGCUUCGGCUAGGAUGCUGGCGUAAUGGUUGUAAGCGACCCGU
rnacentral:rRNA from 1 species